rnacentral:tRNA from 1 species
GCGCCUGUAGCUCAAUUGGAUAGAGCAACGGCCUUCUAAGCCGUAGGUUGCAGGUUCGAGCCCUGCCAGGUGCGCCA